rnacentral:rRNA from 1 species
AGGAUAAACGCUGGCGGCGUGCCUAACACAUGCAAGUCGAACGUCCUUGCGGUCUUCUUCUUCGGAGGAGGACCGCGAGGGAGUGGCGGACGGGUGAGUAACACAUGGGUACCUGCCUUUCAGUGAGGAAUACCGGCGAGAAAUCGCCGACAAGACCGCAUAGGCUUCCUUCGGUAGCCCGAGGGAAGCAAAGUUACUUCGCGAGAGGUGACGCUGGAAGAGGGGCCUGUGGCCGAUUAGCUAGUUGGGGGGGUAACGGCCUCCCAAGGCGACGAUCGGUAGCUGGUCUGAGAGGACGAUCAGCCACACUGGGAUUGAGAACGGCCCAGACUCCUACGGGGGGCAGCAGUGAGGAAUUUUCCGCAAUGGACGAAAGUCUGACGGAGCAACGCCGCGUGCAGGAGGAAGGUUUUCGGAUCGUAAACUGCUUUUCUCGGGGACGAGCAAGGACGGUACCCGAGGAAGAAGCCCGGCUAACUACGUGCCAGCAGCCGCGGUAA